CUAUAGUCACCAGAACAACUACAGCUUAUUGAAUUUGUUCUGGUGAGUAGAAUCAUUACCUUCAGGCUUUUUGCUGUAAACCCUUUCUUUUCAGAGAAAAUGCAGCAUUUACACUACAGCCUAGUGAUAACUUCACUGGCCACUCCUCAGAUGGCUGUUAGAGAUCUUUCCUGGGUCAUGUCUGCCUAAAAUGCAUCCAAACAUUCAGUAUGUCCUACCGCUGCAUGCAGACACUGAACUUUCCUCAUAGAGAUGCAUUGAUUCAUGAGGAGAUGCUGAUUGGCCAUGGUGGCAUUUGGCUCCGCCCCCAGCUUGCCUCCUUGACUGAGAUUAUCAGAAUAGACAAUCUCGGCCAAUUCAAUGCUUUCCUAUGGAAAAGCAUUGUGAAUGGCUCAGAACAUCACUUCUGAUGAUGUCAGCCAAGGAGGCAGAUCAGGGGCAGAGCCAGCACCAGCAGACUGGAAUAAAGGUAAGAUUUUACUAUAUUUAGAGUGGGACAAGGGGGAAGCCAGAUAGUGGUUUUAACACUAUGGGGUCAGAAAUAAAUAUUUGUGUUCCUGACCCUAUAGUGUUCCCUUGAGGUAUUGUUUCCACUUGGGGAUUAAUUUGUCUAGACUUUUCUUAGGGAGGAGAUUUUGCUAUAUGUCUAAGUGACGGCCACUUGAGGUUUUCUUAGGCAGUAAUGUAAAUACUGCAAUUUUUUCGGAAUUAAAUCAAUACGAUAAAGUCUGAAACUACUACACAACUAUAAGUAUAAAUUUGGAAGAUUUUACUGCCUGGUUGCUAGAAUCAAUCCAGAUUGUUCACUAGAACCGUGAAAACCAUGUUGUAGAAUUCACAAGGAAACUGCACAUUUUAGGUGUAAAGAUUGACCUGGAAAGAUAGCUUUUUGAGAAUUUACAAAAACUUGCAUUUCCCUAGUAAUUUCUUUGCCAAUUCUCUGACUUAAGUAAUAUAGCUUCCUAGCAAUGGAUACUCAUUAGAAUAAAGAAAAUCAAUC